rnacentral:rRNA from 1 species
ACGCUGGCGGCAUGCUUUACACAUGCAAGUCGGACGGCAGCACAGAGAAGCUUGCUUCUUGGGUGGCGAGUGGCGAACGGGUGAGUAACAUAUCGGAACGUACCGAGUAAUGGGGGAUAACUAAUCGAAAGAUUAGCUAAUACCGCAUAUUCUCUGAGGAGGAAAGCAGGGGACCUUCGGGCCUUGCGUUAUUCGAGCGGCCGAUAUCUGAUUAGCUAGUUGGUGGGGUAAAGGCCUACCAAGGCGACGAUCAGUAGCGGGUCUGAGAGGAUGAUCCGCCACACUGGGACUGAGACACGGCCCAGACUCCUACGGGAGGCAGCAGUGGGGAAUUUUGGACAAUGGGCGUAAGCCUGAUCCAGCCAUGCCGCGUGUCUGAAGAAGGCCUUCGGGUUGUAAAGGACUUUUGUCAGGGAAGAAAAGGCUGUUGCUAAUACCGACAGUUGAUGACGGUACCUGAAGAAUAAGCACCGGCUAACUACGUGCCAGCAGCCGCGGUAAUACGUAGGGUGCGAGCGUUAAUCGGAAUUACUGGGCGUAAAGCGAGCGCAGACGGUUACUUAAGCAGGAUGUGAAAUCCCCGGGCUCAACCUGGGAACUGCGUUCUGAACUGGGUGACUAGAGUGUGUCAGAGGGAGGUAGAAUUCCACGUGUAGCAGUGAAAUGCGUAGAGAUGUGGAGGAAUACCGAUGGCGAAGGCAGCCUCCUGGGAUAACACUGACGUUCAUGCUCGAAAGCGUGGGUAGCAAACAGGAUUAGAUACCCUGGUAGUCCACGCCCUAAACGAUGUCAAUUAGCUGUUGGGCAACUUGAUUGCUUAGUAGCGUAGCUAACGCGUGAAAUUGACCGCCUGGGGAGUACGGUCGCAAGAUUAAAACUCAAAGGAAUUGACGGGGACCCGCACAAGC